UCUGUGGUUAUAAUCCUAUGGUAAGAAAUAUAUUUGCACGAGUUGUUUCCCUUAGUAAGCCCAUAAAUUUUGAUUGAGAAAAAAGAGCUUACAGAAAAACAAUCUCCCAUACAGACAGAGUUGUCGUCCUUUCCUCCUUAAUCUUGAGUAGGAAAGGACGACAACUCUUUCUGUAUGGGAGAUUGACAGAAAGAGGAAGUUUAUAUGUGCCUAAUAUGUAUUAUGCUCUAUCUUAGAAAAGAAAACGAGCCUAUAUUUAAACAGUGUCUAAUAACAUUUUUGGCAAAUAAUUAAUUACAG
rnacentral:lncRNA from 1 species